GGUCGGUGCCCGAGCGGUUAAUGGGGAUGGAUUGUAAAUCCAUUGACGAAAGUCUACAUAGGUUCAAAUCCUAUUCGGCCUA
rnacentral:tRNA from 1 species